CUGUGGAACUCUAUGCAAGCCUACUGCGGUAGAGGCAUUCACUUCUUGUUAACCGCGUGCGGUGCAGCGGCAGCGCUCCAACGCUCUCGACGUUCUCGGGAAGUUUGCCGCUGCUUCGGGGUGCGAUUGAGGCGACGCAGCUCGAAACCAUUACGAUCAAUAUAAUUAACUUUAGUUCGU
rnacentral:lncRNA from 1 species